rnacentral:rRNA from 1 species
UACAGAGGUCUCAAGCGUUGUUCGGAUUCAUUGGGCGUAAAGGGGUGCGUAGGCGGCGCGGUAAGUCGGGUGUGAAAUCUCGGGGCUUAACUCCGAAACUGCAUUCGAUACUGCCGUGCUUGAGGACUGGAGAGGAGACUGGAAUUUACGGUGUAGCGGUGAAAUGCGUAGAUAUCGUAAGGAAGACCAGUGGCGAAGGCGGGUCUCUGGACAGUUCCUGACGCUGAGGCACGAAGGCCAGGGGGAGCAAACGGG